GGUGAACGCUGGCGGCGUGCUUAAGACAUGCAAGUCGAACGCAGUCUUCGGACUGAGUGGCGCACGGGUGAGUAACACGUAACUGACCUACCCCCAAGCCGCGAAUAACCAGCCGAAAGGAUGGCUAAUACGUGAUGUGAUGAUCCGCUGUGGCGGAUCAUUAAAGACUUGAUCGCUUGGGGAUGGGGUUGCGUUCCAUCAGCUAGUUGGUAAGGUAAAGGCUUACCAAGGCAACGACGGGUAGCCGGCCUGAGAGGGUGGCCGGCCACAGGGGCACUGAGACACGGGUCCCACUCCUACGGGAGGCAGCAGUUAGGAAUCUUCCACAAUGGGCGCAAGCCUGGUGGAGCGACGCCGCGUGAGGGAUGAAGGUUCUCGGAUCGUAAACCUCUGAACCGACGACGAAAGACCCGACAAGGGAGAUGACGGUAGUUGGGUAAUAGCACCGGCUAACUCCGUGCCAGCCGCCGCGGUAAAAC
rnacentral:rRNA from 1 species